AAGCUGUAAGUAAUAUCUAGGCUUACAUUUGGAGAUUGCUAGCAUAAUGCCAAACAAAAUGCUAAUGCUUUUAAAUGUUUAACAGCCUACUGUGCAGUUUAUAAAUGGCUUCAGCUAAUGCAGAGAGAAGUACAAUGAAAAAUAACUAAGUUAAAAUUAACGGGGUUAUACAUAUAUUAUAUGUCUAAACGAUUACUAAAAUGAUCUGAUGAACAGCUUUUCACAAUGAGUAUACAAGCUAUGGCUAUGUUAGAGCAAAUUAAGCUCCAGUUUAUUGUCCAGACGUAAAUAUAAUAAUGUGGAUGAUCCCAUGGCUGAUAGGCAGUUUCCAUUAUGAUAACUGCAUAGCUGUGGGGAUGCCGGUGGUCCUCUUCUUUUUUCUAGAACAAAAUAUUGAACUAACUACUGCAUCGCCAUGAAAUGUGUUAUGGACAUCAAUGGCCCCAGUGAGAUCAAUCCUUAUGACUCUGUUAGUCUACUGACUUUUCGAAAGUUCAUAAGUUUUUAGUUUAAUUUAGCUUAACUUAUUCAUGUUUGCCUCAGAGUCAUUUUUAUUGACUUUGGUGAUCCUCUUACUUUUUCUUUAGCUCUAUCAUCAAGUCUACAUUUCCAUUUGUCCAAUUCUUUUAGUUUAUGGUCAAACACCUGCGAACAUUCUCAUCUGCCUUACUUUUAUUUUGUCAAUGCUAAUCCUGCAUGCGAAUAUGCUAACGUAAGAUGGCAAUAACGGUAAACAUUUAACUUAGAAAUACAUUUUUUUUAUUUUUACAUUGAUACAUUAGCGUUACGCUCGAAGAUUGGCUGUUUAAACUAAAGCCUCACAAAGCUGCUUGCACCAUCAGACAUGCAAUUGAUACUUAUUGUGUGGUUUUAUUUGCAGCCAAUCAGCUGGCAGCUCACACGGCUAACACUGCCGACAACGGCAAAAGUGCCGACAGAGCUAACGUUAACAUUAGAGCUAACAGUAACCAGGGGAGUAGAGCCACCUUGGCUCGGGGAACACCAUUAUCAGCGGUAACUGCUGUAUGAGCGCUGUACGGGCCUUAAAAUGUCUUUUUUGAGUUUUCUUUGGGCAUUAAUUGCUUAUUUGGCAUUAAAAUGGCACCAUAUUGAGCACACUCCCUUUAAAGGUCACUGUAGAGGGUGUUACACAGGACUAAACAUUAGUUUGAGCUAGAACAAAAUAUCUUGUUGGAAAAAUUCUCAGUUUGUACAAAGCUUUUUAACCUCGCCUUUGCCUUGACCAGCUUGUAUCUUGACUUUAAACCCAUCUUCUUUGGGUAUGCAAUUUUUUAAGUGUGAGGUUGACAAUUUUCAGAAGAAAGGUAAAUAACUAGUCUAAUUCUUCAAAAGUUUAACAAAAGGCAACUGAAUGAUUAAACAGAUUCAAUCUUUUAGAAUAGUUAAUAUUUAGGAAGGACCUUAGAGUGUUCAUAAUCCUCUGAAUAUUUCACGCUGCAAGACAAAAUAGGAUGGCAACUAUCUCUUUACCCUAUUUUGUAACCAAAGAAAGUCACCACUCAUUUAAACUGAAGCCCUAUAAUUUGCUGCCAGGAGUAAAGAGGAGAUACAGAUUAGAAGGCAUAGGGUGUAAUUAUUUUUAGAGCUAGUUUUUCAUGAUCGCAGAAUAUUUUUUGCCUCUUGGAAUCAUUAUUUCGAGCAUAACCCAAACUCUGUUCUCAUGGUUCUGAUUUGGAUUUAAUUUUUGUAAUCAAGGGUCGCCACAAACAUUUAAUUAUUAAUGUCUUUUUAGCAGGGUUUACCUACUUAGGCACCCUGGGUUUAAUACUUGCAGCUGAGCCCAUACCAGCCCAGUUCCUUCCACUAUACUUGACCAAGCCAAGGCCUCAGUUUUGUUGUGGCAGUUUGACUAACCACACAUGUAAUCUCAGGCUCCACAAUACCAGCUAAAAGUAAAAAGGUCUAUAACUGGAUUUUAAGGGUCCCACUUCAUGAGGCCUCAAAAUUAGAUCAUUAAAUUGUAGUAUUUAGCUGUCAGUUGAUAUUCUGUUUGAUUGCUCAAAUUCUGGAGUUAUCCAAAAAAGAUGGAAUUACUUUAUUACUACUGUAGAGUGUGGUCAUUAAUAAUUCUCUCCUAUAAGGUCCCUGAUACUGUUACUAGUGAUAAAGACAUUUUACUAGUGGUAGGAAACAGUUCACAAUAUAGUGACAUAGUGACACAAUAUAGUGACGUUGUGUCUGCUGAUGGAUCAUUACUAUUUACCCAUCCGCCCCGGUUGCAUUGACAGCUGGCUAAGCAAGGUUAGCCAAACUUGCUUCCAUUAGCAACAUCUCCCCGAUAAUCCUAAAGCAUUCACCUGUCUGAUGGUAUAUGCAUUCCCAUCAGUAUUUUCUUUGUGUGACCUGGAGUCUCCUCCUGGUUGGAAAUGCCCGGACCAUGACAGUCUGGUGCAGUGUUAACAUCCCAGUUGAUGCAGUACUGAUUUUUCUGUGGAUCUUGAGUUCCAUCUCUUCAGUCCUUAAGCAAGUCAAGAUAGCAUUAUAGAUCAACCUUUGAAACCAGUGCUUAACUUUCAGGUUCAUGUCCGUCUUCACCAAGACAAGGACACACUAAGUCCACCUCACUUUGAAAACAAUACUCCAAGCCACUCGAUUCUCUCUUUUCUUGUUGACAGCUCAUUACUCCCAACCCAGAGGGAGCAAUCAGUCAUUUUGCAGUAGAAUACCAAGACUUAAUGUGCAGUUGGUAAUCGUAGUGGAAUUGCCACAUAGGAAUUUCCCCCAUUUCCCUUUUAAAUGAUCAUGAGAAGUUAGUUUGCUAGGUUUUGUUAAUUUUGUUGUCAUGAAAAAACUAAGCUUGUUUAUCUCAAUCUGUUUCUUGUAAUUUCAAGAAACAAAACAACAAUCAUCUUUAACCAUGUUCAUCACUGCCUUCUGUAUGAAAAGAUGUUCUUAUGAGACCCUCUCCCAACCCAAACACUUUUAAUGUUAUUGCCUUUUGAAUUAUUUUUAUUUCCUGGAGAUUUACUCUCGCCCCAACCACAAUAUCUAGCAGCUUAAUCCCAACCCUUAAUAAAGCCUAAACUUAAACCAAGUCCUCACCCUCACGUGUAACAAUUUAUGUUACGUGGGCAUGCAUUUUCUCCUCAUGAGGAUGCACUACUAGUUGGUAUAGUUAACGCUAACCAGCUGAGUUAUCUUUGAAACAAACCCCGUACAAUUAGCUAGAUACUUUCCUCACAUUCGAAGACACAGUUAAGUUUCACAAAACCCCUAACCCGAACACAACUUUUCCUUCAGUUUUCCUUCAACACAUUAUAAUAAAUAUACUCAUUAAAUUAUAUUUUGUUGUCUUAUCCUAAUAAAAUGUGAUACAUGUAAAUACUGUAACUUUUGCUGGAAAGCCAUUGGAGCUAAUGAGAUGCCAGAAGGAAGAAAACGUUAAAAUGUAAAUGGCCAGAAAGCAUAUGAUGGCCUCAUUCCAGGAAACAAACGGUGGUCAGUCAGGAUUUUGUCUCCGAGAACAUGUCGACCCGAUCAAUGAUCACCUCAUUUUUUAUAUAAAUAAAAGUUUCUAUUUUCAAUGUUCACCCAUGCUGCCACUUCACACUUUGAGUACUAUUACAGCAUGUGUUGCUCUCUUAAGUCCUGCUAUUAUCAGCCUCACAGCAGACAAAAGACACAUCUGCUAUUUGUCCACUAAUCUAGUAAAUGGCUCAGCUAUUUCUGGCCUUUUUCUUUGUAAUUUAUUGAGUCGGGGGAGAGUGGUCAUUGUUUCUAGGCUUUCUUCCCCAUCAACAAAUCGACAAUGCCUUGUAAAGCUUUUAAGUUCAGUUGAAUUGUAAAUCCAUGAAAUAUUUUGUGUACCGACACACUUCUUUUUACCCCCUAGUUGCUAGGGUCAUGGCAAUCUUAAUAAAUUGGCCUGGUCAGUUUCAAUUUGUGCUGCCAUUUUGAUUUUUGUCAUUUUUUAAUUCUAGUACACAAGAUAGAUCUAUUGCUGUUCUCCUUUUGCAGGAGUUGACUCACUCUUCAUCACAUGUGAAAGAAAGCAUCUUUUGGAUGCUUUUAUUAUCAGUUUUUUGACAUUCCAAACUAUUUUAAAUGAAUCUGGCAGAGACUCUGCGUUUUGUUUUUGUGUUUCUUUGCCUUAUUAAUAAUCCAAAUUGUUAACUGUCAUCUAUAAAUCCUCAAUGCACAUGCAUUACCAUACCAUAAUUCCCUCUUAACACCAGAGCCAAAGGUAAUGAGACUCCUUCAAACUUCCGAGGUCUUCGUCUUGAAGUCCUUCACUUAUUGAAAACGUUUUUGCCACAGACUUCUGCAGAUUGUGAUUAAUCCAACAGAUGUGGUUUGAUGAAUUUCAGUGAUCGUCUUUUUUAACUAUUUGAACUCACACAAAAGUUUUUGGGAGAACUGUGGUGAAUUAUUAGUACUCGGAUGCACUUCUGCUUACCCUCCAGAGUUUGUAAUUAGACUUUCCAUAACUUUCGUGUGGUUGUCUUUGACUGAGCAACGCUUAGGCCAACAGGGGUCUUGGAUUAACGCUUUUAAAGUUCUUUUCUAAAUUUAAACAUUUAAACUCAUAGUUUUAUUAUUUUUUUAUAAUAAUUAAGGAAUUUAUUUAGUCAAUUUAAUUUACCUUUCUAAAGGGCAGUUUUGUCUAACAUAUUCAAGCUACAAGAAUGAAAAAAACUUUAGGUAUUUAUUUGUCAGCAUGAAAUAUUCCGUAUUUUGAAAUAGCAGUUAUUCAGUUUUUUUCUGGUGCUGCAUAAUAUUAAAUCAAUUUAUUUGCAAUCUGAUUAGACUUAAUGUUUGUUAAAAGAUGAAGGCUGAAACACACUUCACUGGGGUUUGAUUGUUAUGUCUUUUAGACUCCUUUGUGGUACAUUAACGUGGUUUAUCUUUCCAUUUUUAGAGGCAGUGGUGCUCCCCUUUCUGCUUAGAGCUACCGAAAUGAUUGGGGUUUGAUUAUAAUUAGGCACGUAAACGUCAUGGUUAGGGUCAAAAUAUUAUGGUUGUGUUAAAAACACGUACUUUGUCAAUGUACGGGAACUUUUUUAAACAAAAAGAAAAUUUGUAAGGGAAUGGGAAACAAAUAUGCUGUCACUAGUAUGCCAACCUCCACACAUCCAGGUUUCACAAACUGUACAAUACCAAUGAUCAAAGCUACCGCUGCAAUUGUUCCCAAGUGAAGUCAUAAUUUAUAUGUUUUAUUCAGCAUUUGAACAAUUCACUUAGCCUUUUUAUGGGAGGACAGUCUUAACUGUUUUAUUACUGCUUUAUAAAGCAUAUAAACAUGAUUCAUUUAUCAUUAACCAAAUCAUUAGUGACAACUUAUAACACUGGCCUCCAUGGUUAGAUAGGGUACCAUUUAUGAGUGCAUUAUUUAUGCUACCAUAGAGCUAACAGGGGUACACAUCACCAGCACGUACAAUUCUAAAAACAGUGUAUGUAUUUGAUUAUGAGGAAAAUAAGGUAAGGAAAAAGGCUUCAACAUCUCGCUUACAGACCCCAGUAGUGCCACCCAAUUCCAUUAAUCAGGGAAAAUACCUUGUGUUUUCACAUUUUGAGAGUACUGGAUGCAUAUGCUUACAUAUUUUGACAAUAUAGUGCACAAUGAUACAAUAUGUUCAGUCAAUACACUGGAUUUCUUAUGCAUAAUUUUUCUUCACUGGAUGUGGAGGAUCUCGGAAGCUCAAAUAAGUGCCAAUUUUCAUGACUGCUAAACUUCCAUGUUUAUUAAUUGGCUCACUAAUAUUUACAAAAAA
ensembl:lncRNA